rnacentral:rRNA from 1 species
GUUGAACGCUGGCGGCAGGCCUAACACAUGCAAGUCGAACGAGUGGCAGACGGGUGAGUAAUGUCUGUGAAACUGCCCGAUGGAGGGGGAUAACUACUGGAAACGGUAGCUAAUACCCAAUACCAUCAGAUUUGCCCAGAUGGGAUUUGCUAGUGGGUGGGGUAACGGCUCACCUAGGCCACGAUCCCUAGCUGGUGUGAGAGGAUGACCAGCAACACUGGAACUGAGAACCGGUCCAGACUCCUACGGGAGGAAGCAGUGGGGAAUAUUGCAAAAUGGGGGCAAUCCUGAUACAGCCAUGCCGCUUGUAUGAAGAAGGCCUUCGGGUGGUAAAGUACUUUGAGCGAGGAGUCGUUACCCGAAGAAGAAGCAACGGCUAACUCCGUGCCAGCAGCCGCGGUAAUAC